UGGGGAAUUUUGGACAAUGGGCGAAAGCCUGAUCCAGCAAUGCCGCGUGUGUGAAGAAGGCCUUCGGGUUGUAAAGCACUUUUGUCCGGAAAGAAAUCCUUGGCUCUAAUACAGUCGGGGGAUGACGGUACCGGAAGAAUAAGCACCGGCUAACUACGUGCCAGCAGCCGCGGUAAUACGUAGGGUGCAAGCGUUAAUCGGAAUUACUGGGCGUAAAGCGUGCGCAGGCGGUUUGCUAAGACCGAUGUGAAAUCCCCGGGCUCAACCUGGGAACUGCAUUGGUGACUGGCAGGCUAGAGUAUGGCAGAGGGGGGUAGAAUUCCACGUGUAGCAGUGAAAUGCGUAGAGAUGUGGAGGAAUACCGAUGGCGAAGGCAGCCCCCUGGGCCAAUACUGACGCUCAUGCACGAAAGCGUGGGGAGCAAACAGGAUUAGAUACCCUGGUAGUCCACGCCCUAAACGAUGUCAACUAGUUGUUGGGGAUUCAUUUUCUUAGUAACGUAGCUAACGCGUGAAGUUGACCGCCUGGGGAGUACGGUCGCAAGAUUAAAACUUAAAUGAAUUGACGGGGUCAUA
rnacentral:rRNA from 1 species